GGGCGCAGGUCGUUUGGAUCCGCUCGUUGCUUGCGUCCAUUCCUGGACCAGUCUCGCCAGAUUGUCUCCUGCGAUUUAGAUCCAGUUUUGGAUUCGAUGUGUUCAUGAUGCGAUAAACGUAGCCUAGUCCCGAUGCGGUCGGAUUGUGGGGUUGCGCAUAAGAAACUUUAGGCGAGCAGUCGGUACCCUCUACUUGUUAUUUCUGUGGCGUCUUGUCGUUGUGAUUCAUAGCUUACCCUUGCUGAGUGCUUAUGGAUUCGUUUUGUGUACUUGCCAGACGGCCAUGGGUCUGCGAAGGUGCCCUUGUGGAAAGAUCCGUUGAGCCCGAGCAAGUGGAAGGAAGAGCACGUGAGUUUACCCUAGAACAUCUUGUUUAAAGUCAUUGAAGCUAACUACAUUGAUGUUGUGAUGAUUAUCGUACUAGUGUUAGGCAUACAGCCUGUGAGUACAUUAUAUUUUCUUUAUAAGGGUCUGCCACUGAGCUCUUGAGUUCAUUUGGAUGCUUAAGUGGAACUGUAGAAUGUCUUCUGGGUGGAAAACACAUAAGUUGGUAACUAGUGCCAAACUUUUUGGCCUUGUAAUCAGAUUACAGGUUUACCUACAUCUUUAGGUUGCCUCUGUCAUCAGUUGAAUCAAUAUCUUUUUUUUACCAUAUGCAUUCUGUAGCCAAGUUCUCAAAAAUUGUCUGGCACACAUACUUGUUAUCUACAAUACAUCUGCAAAACUAGAGCUGUUAGACUCUAUAGUUUGUUCUCAUUUGAAUCAUGUCAUAGAGUUUCUUCCUGAUCUUUCUUGCUUCAUAUGAAAUAUUUCAUCUAAGUACCUUUUACUGGCUGCAAUUACCCAACAUGCAUGCCUCUAGCCAAAAUAUGUUGGCAGGAAGUGUUUCAGAAACCAGUCAAGGUGGCCUCACUACAAUUAGGUCUUGGUCAAUGAGGCCAGGUGGCCAAUGGGUGAGGUCAAGUUAGCCUCAGCAGCCACUGAAUCUUGUUGGUUUUCCACUAACCAUGCCCCCUCACACAAUCCUGAUGUUGAGGGAUCUUCCCCAGAUCCAAACCUCAUCUUCCCCUUCCUCCUCCCCCCCCCCCCCCACGGUUCUUGGUUAGUACCUAAUGAAUUUUGAAUUGCACCUUACAUCUAAUGACACCUGCAAACAAUAGCUGACUCAUUUCGAUAUAUCUUGCUAUUUUGAAUAUAUUCUAAAUUUCUAAUAUGAAAUCUGGACCUUUCAUGCACUGUUUCAAACUUUUAAUAGAUACAAAUAAAUUAUUUGGUGUACAUUUUGAGGACUUUCAUCCAAUCCGCGAGUCAUUAAAAAUGGACUUUAUGCUGUGUUGUGGUUUUAUAUACUCCCUCCGUUCCAAAAUAUAGUUCUUCCUAGCCUUGUUUUUUUCCGUCCACAUUCGAAUGAAUGAUAAUGAACAUCGACAUACAUACAAACUACAUUCGUAAUUUGAUUAAUGAAUGUGUAUUUUGUCUAAAACGAAUUAUAUUUUGGGACAAAGGGAAUAUGAUAUAUCUGUUUGACUUUCUACACACCCAGUGCUGAAAGCUCCCACACAAUGUGGGGUCAUUUUAUUUUCUUUUAUAUUGUAAUUUUUUUCUUCAGUAUCUGCUUUUCAUGUGUUUUUCUGUUAUCAUAGUUGUACUAUUGUGCUUUGGUUUGUUUAUAUAGCAGCUCCAAAUGAACAUGAGUUUCUUUUGUAAUUAAUUGAACCAUGGAUAUUUUUUAUAACUAUGUUUCCCUCGUGCAGUUUGUUCUAGCAAGCCUCUCAAUGUGGGGGGUUAUUUUUUAUGGUGGUUACAAGCUUUUUAGUGGAAAGAAGGAAGCCAAGACUGAGGUAAUUCUUUAAAAUUUACCAGUUAUACACUUAUACUAACACUUGUAAAAUGUUGUUCACAGUAGUAGAUUAGUUCCUGACGUUUCGAUAACUAGAAUUCGUAGCUGAGAAAUAAUUUGUCAAAGAUAAAAGGUUGCAUCUGUGCCUAGGUCUGGCAUUAGGUUUCUUGUUUCUUUGGUUCAGUUUCUUUUAGCAAAAAACUUUGUCACCACAAACCCAAGCACUGCGCUUUUUGGUAUUCGGUUAUUCAGUGGAAUCUUUGUUAUUUUCUGAAGAAAUAACGAUGCGGCAGCAAAUGGUAAGGAAAUCGGGGAAAACAAUUGGGAAAUGAGGACCAGGUCAGAUCUGGGGAGAUAUUGAUAUACACAACUAAGCAAGCUCAGCAUGAAAAUGUGGACCGCCUUUGGCUGCUUGCGUGUGAGCUAGCAUGGUGGACUGUCGUAUGCUUGCCACUGGACCCAUGAAGGCUAGUGUGCAUCUACAAGGUUCACGCUAUUGCUAUUGUGUGCUCAUCAUGGCCGCUGGCUAGCUCUCUUGUCAGUUUGUCACACUGCCUGUGUUAGAUUGUGGAAGGAGGUGGAUAACUGGAUUGCAACGUACCACGUGUGAGGUCAGGAGCGAUGUGGUCUUGGUAACUGGGCUGGGCCACAUGGUCUAUGAAUUGGUCCAAUGGCCAGCACUGUGCGUGAUCUGUUUUUUUGGGUGAUCUGAGUCAUUUGGUUUCUGAACCUGAUAAACCAUCCCACACUCCAAACCAGUUAGGCAUGGCUUCUCCGACCACACCGAACACAGAUCACUGAAAAAUCCUUAAGUUUUGGUAUGGUACGGUGUGGUUAGUUUGGCAGUGUAUUUUUGCCCAGCAGCAACUGCAGCUUAGCUUGUGGGUGAUCCCACAACCAAUGUGUCAUGUUAGGUUAACUAUUGCUAAUACACAAUCCAAAUGCUUGCUGCUUUUGUUUUUCUGCACUUUACAGUGAGAAUGCUUUAUGAAAUCUAACAGUGUUACAAAAAUCUGAUACUCUGCUACAGGCGGCAUCACCACAGGCAUAGGUGGCGGAGAUGGAGUUAUACCCGUAUCUGUGGCCUGGCAACAAUGUUAAAUAAAAGGAAUGCUUUAUGUUGUGCUUUCAAGUUGAUAAAUUGUGGCAACAGGAGAUUUUGCUUUACGUAGGCAAUAUAUUGAGAAGCUACUCUUACUCAUCC
rnacentral:lncRNA from 7 species